AAGACUAUAGACCUGCGGAGUACCUGCGGAAGGAUCAUUAUCGAGUGUGACCCUCCUGUAAAAAAGGGGGUACCUCCCGUCCUUUUGCUAGGCCCUCCCCCUCCAAAAAUUUUUUUGACAGGGGGAAGCUUUUUCAAACCUUCUGCUUCGGUGGGUUUUAAACCCCGCCGGAACAACCUCAAAAAUUCUUUAUAAUUGUUCUGUCCGAGAAAAAUUUUAUUAAAAUGAAAAAACUUUUAA
rnacentral:misc_RNA from 1 species